rnacentral:rRNA from 1 species
UAGGGAAUCUUCCACAAUGGACGCAAGUCUGAUGGAGCAACGCCGCGUGAGUGAAGAAGGGUUUCGGCUCGUAAAGCUCUGUUGUUGGUGAAGAAGGACAGGGGUAGUAACUGACCUUUAUUUGACGGUAAUCAACCAGAAAGUCACGGCUAACUACGUGCCAGCAGCCGCGGUAAUACGUAGGUGGCAAGCGUUGUCCGGAUUUAUUGGGCGUAAAGCGAGCGCAGGCGGAAGAAUAAGUCUGAUGUGAAAGCCCUCGGCUUAACCGAGGAACUGCAUCGGAAACUGUUUUUCUUGAGUGCAGAAGAGGAGAGUGGAACUCCAUGUGUAGCGGUGAAAUGCGUAGAUAUAUGGAAGAACACCGGUGGCGAAGGCGGCUCUCUGGUCUGUUACUGACGCUGAGGCUCGAAAGCAUGGGUAGCGAACAGG